AUAGUGUGAACUUAAAAGUUAGGAUUUUUACUUUAAUUUAUGAAUGAAUGAAUGAAUGAAUGAAUGAAUGAAUGAAUGAAUGAAUGAAUGAAUGAAUGAAUGAAUUGCAGGAACAUCUUCCAAAAUCAGAAUGACAGCUAAUUUCUGGGUUGUCUUAUCUUCAGGUCUGCCUUUAAAAUCAGAUGGACUGUUGUUCAGUUGCAUCUGACCAUUCACUAGAUUAUUUGGGGUUUUCUUGCCAAUGAUACUAGAGGGGCUCAUCAUUUCCUUCUCCAGCUCAUUUCACAGAUGAGAAAACUGAGACAAACAUGGUUAAGUAACUGAGGCCAGAUUUGUCUUUCUGAUUCCAGGGCUGGGACUCUAUUCACUGAGCCAACUAGCCUGCCCCCAAAUGAACUCCCAAUAAUUUCCUUUGCCUUGAAGAUAAUUGUCUUGCUAAUGGUUAUUAAUGGUUAUUACUGAAGUAGUUCCCCACCAGCUAUUGUUCUUCUGUGCUGUCUAAUUAUUUCCCAGCUUGCUAUUCAUGAAACCUUUACCUGACUUAGCAAAAGGGAAUAUAAAUAAGUUUUUUUAAAAGCCGUUUGCAGUAACAAACUGCAUAAAAUGGGUAGAACAGUCAUGAAUUUGUACUGUUAAUGCCCAGAUAGGGGAGCUGAGCCGCUUGGAUACUAGAUACUGUCAGGGUCAUGUUGUGGUAGCUUGGGGUUAGCUCAUUAAGGUACUUAAAAAGUACUUUAAACAGUUCUCCCGUUUUGGUUUUAAAUGUUGGUUGUAACUUGAAUCUGUUCCAGUUUUAAAACUGACCAAGGAAAAACAAGUAGGGAAAAAACUUCAGGAACAAAUUAAUGAAGCAAAAGGUUUCAAGCGGUUUGAUCCUUCUAAAGCUUUUCAGCAUGAGAGUAAAGAAAACUUUUCUCCCAAAGUACCUUUGAAGGAAGGUUGGCAAACAAGAUGUGGACAAUUUUGUCUAAUAUCCCAAUGAUUAUAGGGCCAUUUGGACCCAGAUGGAUGAUUCUCUAUGAAGCUCUAAUUAGGGAAACCUACCAAGAAGCAAUUAAAACUGUUUAGAUAUACUUGGUAUUAGCCAAUUAAGAAAAAAAAAAAAACCUUGCAAACAGGUUUUUUUUUUCCC